AAAUACAUGUAACUGGCAUUACAACGUAGGAAUAUGGAACAAUUCCAUCACGGCCAAAAAAAAAUUCCUCUGUAUCCCUUUGUGUCAAACCCUUCUUCAUUCCUGAGCUACUAUUGAUCUGUUCUCUGACCCACUCGUUUUGCCUUUUCCAGAAUGUCAUAUAAAAGUGUUCAUACAGUAUAUAUGAAGUCUGGCUUUAUCACUUCGCAUAAUUUGAGAAUCAUCUAUGAUAUUUUGUUUCAAUAAUUUGUCCACUUUUAUUACUAAGUAGCAUUUCAUUGUAUGGAGGUGCCAAAUUUUAUUUAUACAUUGCCCCAUUAAGGGGCUGCAAUGGACUGAAUUGUGACCCCCCAGUACUCAUAUGUUGAAACCCUAACCUGCAGGUAAUUUUAUUUGGAGCUAGGGUUUCGAGGUUAAUUGAUUAGAACCUUAAUAAAAGUUGAGUGAGGUCAUAAGGGUGGAGCUCUAACUCAGUAGGGCUAGUGCCCAUAUGAAGAAGAGGAAGCCCCAAGAGUUCUGUCUUAGAGCACACACACUGAGGAUAGAGAGAAGGUGGCCAUGUACAAGACAAGAAGAGAGUCCUUUCCAGAAAUGGACUCAGCUGGCACCUGGAUCUUGGACUUUCCAUCUUCAAGAACUGAAGCCAGCUACCCUCUGGGAAGCAUACGCAGCAGCCUGAUGGAGAGAUCCACACGAUGGUUUUGUGAACAGCCAUCAAGGAAUGGAAGUCUCCAGAAACAGCACAUGAAUCACAUCAGCAAGUGCAGACCAUUCUACGUUUAAAAUAUAUCCCAACCUGUCCAUCUCUUCUUAUCACCUCUACCAACACUACAGUCCAAGACACCAUCUUCUGUAGCCUGGACUAUGGGUGGAGUCUCCUGCUUUGCACAUCUACACAGAAGAAGAUGGACAACUCCAAGCCGAUGGACAACUGCAAGCCAGCCUCCAGCCAGAAGCAUGGAGUAUCACACUCUCAACCCCAUGUAGUCUGCCUCAUCCUACAAUUCCAGCUGCAUCUGGCUUUACUCUUCUCCGUGCUUACUCCUUUCAGACCUUUUUUUUUUUUUUUUUUUUUUCAGUUUCUGUAAUGUGUGCAUUUCCUAGAUCAUGCUCCUUUGAAAUGACUUAGGAGCAAAUUGGUGGUGGGAGGCAGGCUGGUGAUGUGAAAGGAAUGAGGGCAUGAGAAGAAUGAGGAAGAAAAGAAAGGGAAAACUCAGAGAGUGCAUUUUUGGAGAUUGGUGUUCCGGACAAUGUGUCCAGGACCUCUGAGAAGUAUACAGAACGCCUCUCAGAGAUGUUAACCUGAAGGAGGGUGGCUGGGGCAUCUGUUUACCAGCUCUUGUCCCCCCCAGUUGAGGGUUGCCUGGCAGGGGGUGGGAGUGGGGAAGAGCGUCAAUACUCCUGCAUUUCUGGGCUGUAUUUGUGCCGCUGUCAGAGAAAGCAGAAAGAUGCUCAGAGGCUUGCAGUGGGUGGAUAUCAGCUGGAGGUGAGUCUGACUGUCCACCACAGCUUUGGCUGAAAUUGAGGAGGGCUGAGGGGAGGGAACGUGGGGCACCAGAUGUGUCUCCAGCUCCAAGAUCUUCUUGCAUUGGUGACUUUGCGCAUGCUAGUCCUUCCGCUGGCUUUUUCCUCCUCCCUCCUCUGUGAGUAGCUGAAUCCCUUCUACAGUCUUAGGUCUCACCUUGCUAUCCUGUCUUCAGAGAUGCCUUCUCCUGUCUCCCAGUCUACAUUGUGUCUCCUUAGCGAGUCUUUCUCAUAGCACCUGCAGUGUAUGUGCCAGGAGUCAUGAUUCUCUAUUUGUGUGUUCUAGGUUGCAUCUGUCAUUCACACAGGGCUGUCAUUCUCUGACAUUUUUGUUUAUCUCUGUACACCCAGUGCCUAGCAGUCCAUCUGCAACACAGUAGGUGAGCAACCGAUGAGUAAAAAUGAGGACAGAUUAUAAACCUAAACAUGUAACCGAGAAA